rnacentral:lncRNA from 1 species
CGCCCGCGCUCCAGCCCCCGCCCCGGGCCGCUACUCUUCGGCGGGGCCCGCGGGGCGCAGGCUGCUCUGCCGCUGGGGCUCCGGUCCGCCUGCACUGUGACGUGGGCAGCAGCUGGGGCGGGCAGUGCCUCGGUCUCCGCUCGGGGACGCGGUGAUUUUCUUUUUUUUUUCCGACUGCCGGAGCCCGUGGUGGUGGUGCUGGGGGGCGGGGUCGGCGUGGGCAGAGCUGCGGGGGCUGCCGCGGAGGCCGCCCUAGGAGGGAGGGGGCGGACCGGGGUGUGAGGUGAGCGGCCGUAAUGAGCACUCGCAGGAGCAAGGGGCCCGGCGCGGGCCUCCAGGGCGGGAGGCCCUGACGCGGGGAGGAGGCGGCCGGGCGGCCAAGGGCCUCCCUGGGGAGUGUGCGGAGGCCGGGACGGAGCAGCGCGUAACUAGGGAGAGGAUAGGCCGGGCUGGUGGAGAUGCGGGGAGAGACCAGCCAAAGCUAAAGAGCCAAAGCAAAGGUGCUGCGGGGAGGACAGAGGAGCGGGAGGAAAGGGGAAGGAGAGAAGAAAAGAGGCAGGGAAACCCGGAGAGAAAGUGGGAGGGAGGCCAAGGGGACAGGGGAGGGGUGGGAAGAACGUAGGGCGGGGAGCAGAAAGGAAGGAGGGAUCCAGAAAUGGACCCGGAGGGAGAGAGGAAGGCGGAGAGCAGCUGUGAGGGAGAGGCUUGGCGGGAGCCUCAGCAAAGAGGAGGAAGAGAGCAGAGGGAGAGGGCAGAUUUGUUGCCUAGGCACUGGCUGAGGGUCACGAUGGAAGGAGGCAGUAUUUAUUUUUUAAAUUUAUUUGACAUAUAUUUACAAGGCAACUACAUUGUCGGCACUGCCCUAGGCUCCAGGGCCACAGAGACAACCAUAGCUUCAGCCUCCUGCUCCGAAUGACAUCUCUCAGAAAUCUUCCCUGACUGUCCAGGCGGAAUUAAUGGUUCACUUCCCUGUUCCUCUAUACCUUGAGCAUCCCUCUACAAUUGAAUGCUCCUUCAUUCCAUUUCAUUGCACCAGCAUGUAUCGAGGGUCUACUGUUAUCUAUCGCUGAAGAGAAUGAUUGCAAAAAACUUGAAUGAACAUGGAAAAUGCUGAUGAUCAGAUUUCCAUUGAAAAGAAAGGUGUGCUCCUUGGGGUGGGGGUGUUGUUGUAAUUGUCAGAAAAUGUUUAAUAAAAGAAACAGAAA